rnacentral:rRNA from 1 species
GUACACGCUGUGACUAGCAUAUCAAUAAGCGGAGGAAAAGAAACUAACAAGGAUUCCCCUAGUAACGGCGAGUGAAGCGGGAAGAGCUCAAAUUUGAAAUCUUAAAGGGUUUCCCUUUACGAAUUGUAGUUUGAAAGAAGUGUUUUCUGUUGAGGUUUUGGUAAAAGUUCUUUGGAAUAGGACAUCAUAGAGGGUGAGAAUCCCGUAUUUGACCUUUACUUUCAACUUUGUGAUACACUUUCAAAGAGUCGGAUUGUUUGGGAAUGCAGUCCAAAAUGGGUGGUAAAUUUCAUCUAAAGCUAAAUAUUGGCGAGAGACCGAUAGCGAACAAGCACCGUGAGGGAAAGAUGAAAAGAACUUUGAAAAGAGAGUUAAACAGUACGUGAAAUUGUCAAAAGGGAAGCGUUUGACACCAGUGUUGUUUUUCUGAAAAUCAACUAAAGAACUGUUUAUGCUAAGUUGUUUAGACUUUAUCAGCUAUCUGUUUAGUUUUGAGCUUUUCUCUAAUGCACUUUUCAGUUAACAAGUCAACAUCAAUUUCUUUUGCUGUAAAAAAGCUUGAGGAAGGUGGCUUGAGAUUCGUCUUAAGUGUUUAUAGCCUCUUGCCUAUGCAGUCGGAGAGAUUGAGGUCUGCAGCGUAGAUCCUUCGGGGCUAAAUGCAUUUGUGCUAAGUUAUAGCAUUUUAUAGACAACUUGUUGACUAUGAUUUGUCUUGUAGCUUACUCGCUUAUGUUAUUUUACCUACGCUUAGGAUGUUGAUAUGCAUGACUGAUAU